rnacentral:rRNA from 1 species
UACAGAGGUCCCAAGCGUUGUUCGGAUUCACUGGGCGUAAAGGGUGCGUAGGUGGCGAGGUAAGUCGGCUGUGAAAGCUCGGAGCUCAACUCCGAAAUGGCAUUGGAAACUACCUUGCUUGAGGGUUGGAGGGGGGACUGGAAUUCUCGGUGUAGCAGUGAAAUGCGUAGAUAUCGAGAGGAACACCAGUGGCGAAGGCGAGUCCCUGGACAACACCUGACACUGAGGCACGAAAGCUAGGGGAGCAAACAGG